rnacentral:rRNA from 1 species
GAUGAACGCUAGCGGCAGGCUUAAUACAUGCAAGUCGAGGGGUAGCAAGAUUGUAGCAAUACAAUUGUUGACGACCGGCAAACGGGUGCGGAACACGUACACAACCUUCCUACAAGUGGGGAAUAGCCCAGAGAAAUUUGGAUUAAUACCCCGUAACAUAGCGAUGUGGCAUCACAUUGCUAUUAUAGCUUCGGCGCUUGUUGAUGGGUGUGCGGCUGAUUAGCUAGAUGGUAAGGUAACGGCUUACCAUGGCAACGAUGGGUAGGGGUCCUGAGAGGGAGAUCCCCCACACUGGUACUGAGACACGGACCAGACUCCUACGGGAGGCAGCAGUGAGGAAUAUUGGUCAAUGGGCGCAAGCCUGAACCAGCCAUGCCGCGUGCAGGAAGACGGUCCUAUGGAUUGUAAACUGCUUUUAUACGGGAAGAAACACUGCUACGUGUAGCAGCUUGACGGUACCGUAAGAAUAAGCAUCGGCUAACUCCGUGCCAGCCGCCGCGGUAACAC